rnacentral:lncRNA from 1 species
UAGGAAUAGAAAUGUAACACGCUAGCCUAAUAGAACGUUACCUAGUAGUAAUAGUAAUAUUUAUACUCGAUCAUCUUCAGUAUUCAGUGAUUUUUUUUUUUUUUUUGUCGUCUAUUAUUAAUAUUAUUCAAACUGAAAGUAUAAACAAAAACCCAACAUAAAGCAAACUGAUAAUACAAUAAGGCCUAAAACAAACAGGCCGAGGCAAAAGAAAGCCCAAAGUAAGUCGGUGAACAAAUCAAGAAGGCUCUACCACGUGUUGAACUCAGACCCUAAAGAGAACACAUGUUUGCCAAUACGUCACCCAACUUCACCGCGUUGAAAGUCGUCGCCGGAAAGCUUGAUCGAACUUCCACCGGAACACACCGGAGACAGGAAGCGAGGAUUGGAGCCACCACGAUAACUCGAUCUAAAUGAAAGAGCCCAAAGAGAGAAAGACCAUCGCUUCAUAAGAUUGGAGAGAAAACCAGAUUCAAAUGAAUCCAAGACGAUCUCAACACCGAGAAAGCUUCAAUUCCAGAACAUGCAACCACAGUCAUCUUUAUAAAUCCAAAUAAGCUUGAAGAUGACUAAACCAUCUCAGAUGGAAAGGAAGAAGCUUUUCGAUAUAAAGAACAAAACUCAAUUAAAUCUGAACGAUGAUCGAGAAGGAACAAAAAAAUAAAAAUUACAAACGAAACUAGACAAAACUGGUAAAAAACUAAGAAGAAUCAUCAGAAUCCCAAUGAUCCGUAAGAAGCCAGCAGAGACAGCGCUGAAGGAGCCGCCAUUCACGGGAGAUAAAGCCCGACACACGGGAAGCAAAGGCCAGCCAAGACGGUGCUGUGAGAGCCACCGCUUGCCGGAGUCAAGCCCGAUACACGGGCAACGAGAUCACCGGAAAGGAUCCGGCAUCGAACGAAACUUGACUCCCUCUCUCUGAAAGAUUUGAGAGAGAUAAGAGAGAGAGAGUACAGGUUUCAGGUAGAAAUGUGUAAACUAUCAACCAGUAUUCAGUGAUAUCUAAGGAGAAGAUGAUAAAGAUUAUAAAAAAUGUAAAAACAAUAAAAUACAUGUCUUAAAAUAUACAUAUUUGGUUACCCUCACAUUAUCGGCUUUAUUCACCUGCAAAAUAAAUAUGGUCAUUUCCUCUGUUCUAGUAACAUACAAAUAAUUACACCAAAACUAUCUUUAUUUGGGCUUAAUUACACCAAAUAAUAAGGCCCUGUGGUAUCACUUUUAUGAUAUAAUGAAAAAUCCAAGCUGGCUGGUUUGAUUGAAGUCUUUUUGAUAACAAGAAAGCACUUGGAGCUUAAAAUAUUUCCGAAUAUUUCAAGAAUAGUAUAAUACCAUAAAACACAAUUCCAAUUUUUAUUUCUUAUUUGAUAAUUACAAGAAACAUCCGCUAAGUGUUAGAAAACAUGUCAGUGUAUCGAGCAAUUCUGAAUGUAAGAGUUGUUCAAUUCCUCUGAUAUACUUUUCAUAACUUUAAAACCAAGUAAAGAGUAAGGUUAAUACCUGGAGCGCCCAGUCACUUUCGUUUACAGGGAGACUACUUCUGGUGAACAGGGUCAUUGCAGGUAUCACGAACUUCUGGUGCGCCACAUUUGUUAUUCCGAAAGCCUGCAUUAAGAAAAUCAAUGCAAUAUGCGGAGCCUAUCUUUGGAAAGGAAAAGCAGAUGGAAAUCAACGCAAAUGGCAACUGGAAUAUCAGAUCACCGAGAACGGACAAUCAGGUUAUAUUCCAGACUUAUCUCAAAAGAAUCUAUCUUACUGAAGAAGAAGACACUUACGAAUGGGAGGUAGACGGGGUGGUCUGGAAAGAUUACAGCACCAGUGCUAUAUACAAACAGCUGAAGCAUCACGCUCCUCUGGUGCCUUGGUUUGAUAUUAUCUGGUGUAAAGGUGGAAUUCCUAAACACAACUUCCUCUCUUGGCUCUUUGUUCUUAACAAAUGUCCAACUAGAGACCGAUUACUCAAUUGGGGGCUCACUACGGAUCCUGCUUGUUUACUCUGCAAUGCUGCGUCGGAAUCGCGCGAUCACCUCUUCUUCUUAUGUACUUAUAGUUGGGAAAUUUGGUCAGCAACUGCAACUAGAUGUCAAGGCAACACACCAAGAGAUUAUCAGAGCACCAUAUAUUACCUCAUCAACUUGCGUCUACCAAAGCCUUACAAAAAACUUCUUCUGAUUGCUUGGCAAUGUGUGAUUUAUCUGUUGUGGACAGAACGCAACUCAAGAUUACAUAGAAGAAGCUUCAGGUCUCCGCAAUCACUGCUCUAGUCUGCGAUCUCAGAACCCAGCUACUUCUUCAUCCAUGAUUCAAUUGUGGUUUCGAUGAUCGGGUUGAUCUCCGUCAACUGCAUGACUCCUCUCUGGCUCCUUCACAUUAUCAUUUCGGUUGGGCUUCUAAUUAUUAGGUUUAAAACUAAGUUGGGUUAUUGUAUUUUUUUUUUCAUGCAUUUUAAUAGAAAGCUUUUUUCAAAAAAAAAAAAAAAGACAACUCAUAGCUGGCCCGGUCGUCUUCGGAAUGAAGCUUAUAUAACAAACAUUAACGUAUCAUAGUUUUAACUUUUAACUUAUUGAAUUAGGCUCAGUAAGGUUUUUAUUACACCACUAAACAAAAGCACCUAUGACUGGGCUCAGUAAGGCCCAUUGUAUUGGUUCGUAAAAUCGAUGAUGUCCAUUGUAUUAACUUCAUCUCGAUAACCCAUUUAAAAGAAAAAAAAAACAACUGCAGCUAGGGGGGUUUUUAAAAGAAUGUAAACUUAGAGAUAAAAAGUUUAAGCCAAUUUUUUGGGGUUAUACGUGAAAGCAUUACAUAGAAACUAAAACCGUUAAUGGCUCAAUUACAAUUAGUCGACAUGAUCUAUUUUUAUUUACCUGCAACAGACAAAUGUUUCGUAUUGCCCUAUUUAUUUACGACUAAAUACAAGUACUAGCAGACUGUCACAACAUAUACGCCGAAAUUACAAAAGCAAAUAAAGGGACGUACAUAGGCAGGCACUAACCGGGAAAAUCGUACCGAAUAAAACAAAAAACAAUGGAAUACGGAAAAAACGUAUGUGGACGGUCCAUAACAUCAUCAUAGACCAUACCAUACACCAUUCAUCAUCAUAAUAAAACCCAUUAAACCGAGUGGGUAUAAAUAGAAACGAAAGGUUCUUCCUUUCUCAAGGUCUCGUCUUCCUCCGACUCUGUCUCCACUCUCCAACAACUUCCUUCUCUCCCACUACUAACCGAGUCACCAUGGCCAAGGUAACUCACUCAAACCGCGCUAUCAAGAAUCUUCUAUUCUUGUUAUCGGAUUUUGUUUUCUCUCUCUCUGAGUUUAAUAACGGGUUUGAUUUGCUCUCUCUCUCUCUCUCUCUCUGUUUUGUCUCUAAGCAGAAGAAGAAGAGCAACAACGAGAACAAAGGAGAUGGUGGCGGCGAUAAGAAAACGGCGUCUAUAACCGUCGUUUUGAAGGUCGAUAUGCAUUGCGACGGCUGCGCUUCCAAAAUCGUCAAAUGCGCACGUGCUUUCAAAGGUUUGUUUUUUCCUCUUUAAAAGCCACAAAGCUAAUGUUUUCACUGUAAAAAGUAACAUUAAUGUCUCUCUUCUCAGGAGUUGAGACGGUGAAAUCAGAGUCAGAUACUGGGAAGCUAACGGUGACCGGAGAAGUAGAUCCGGCGAAACUCCGGGAGACACUCGCAGAGAAGACAAAGAAGAAAGUCGACUUGGUUUCUCCUCAGCCCAAAAAGGACAAUAAGAACAAAAGCGAUGAAGACAAAAACAAAGAAAAGAAAUCAUCUGAGGAGAAGAAACCCAAAGAGGUAAAGCUUCGACCUUUUACUAUAUCGUUUUAUCAGUUUGUAUUAUAGAAUCUGAUUCUGAGUGUUGUUGAUAUGUUAUUUAUUUACAUUUAUUAUUAUGUUCUCAGGCUCCGGUGAUAACGGCGGUGUUGAAGCUGAACUUCCAUUGUCAAGGUUGUAUCGCUAACAUCCAGAAGACUGUCACUAAAACCAAAGGUUUGCGACACAAGACGUUUUUUUGUUCAAAACGCUAUUUUUGCAAAACGCUCACAUUUGUUUGUUUGUUUUUUUUUUGAAAAAAGGCUUUCUAUUUAAAUUGUUUGUUUUUGUUUGUUUGUUGGAAUCGUUUAGGUGUGAAUGGGAUGACAAUGGACAAAGAGAAGCAGUUGGUGACGGUUAAAGGAACAAUGGAUGUGAAAAAGCUCGUGGAGAGUUUGUCGGAGAAGCUGAAACGUCCGGUGGAGAUUGUGCCGCCGAAGAAGGAUAAAGACAAAGAGAACGAGUCUGGCGACAAGAAGAAAGGCGGCGGGGGAAAGGAUAACAAAGGCGGCGAGGGGGUGAACAUGAUGGAGUACGUGGCGGCUCAGCCUUAUCACGAGUUAGCGUAUUACCCGGGUGGGCCAUAUGGGUAUUAUCCGGUUCAGGCCCACGCGCCUCAGAUGUUCAGUGAUGAGAAUCCGAAUGCUUGCGUCGUUAUGUGAGGCGGCGGAUGAAAAUAUUGGAGAGUGGUGGGGAGUUUUUUUUGAAAAGACUUUCAUUAAUUUAAACGCAGAAAAAUAGAAAAAGGUUCAGAAGCCCAUAUGAUCUUCAGUUACAAAACAAGACCCAGUUAAUAAAAACAAAAUAUUGCCCAUAGUUAAGAAACCCAUUGCAGUUUAGCCCAAAACGGAUUUGGAAACGUUUGAUGAGAAAUAACGAGACGGAGAAUGGAGCAAUCAAGCGGAGACGAUGGUAGGAUCACAAGCAAGAAACCAUAAUUGGAGGAGCUGUGAACAAGUUGUUGGGUUGACUUCCCGGAGACUGUUGAUGCGGUCUUUAAUUUGACAAUCAACAAGACGGAGCAACACGUCAGGAGAUCGGAAAGUGUGUCGAUGAAGUCUAGAAUUUCUUUCAGCCCAAACCCAGUAGAUGAUCGCUUGCCAGGCUAGCAGGAGAAGACGACGCCGGAAUCUGUUACCAGAGAGUGUGUGCAUCUGACUUAGUGAGCGAUCCCAUGUCCUCAAAGGAUUCAAAGUGAAUCUUGUGGCCAUAGUUGACCAUAGUUCCCACGAGUAAGGGCAAUCAAAAUAGAGGUGAUCUCGACUCUCUGGAUGAAGACCACAGAGAAGACAGUUAGUAUCAGUUUGCAAACCCCAGGACUGGAGACGAUUGCGAGUUGGGCAGCGGUUCAGAACCACCAGCCACACCAUAAAACAAUGCUUAGGAAUGCCUCCUUUAAUCCACACUGCUUUAGUCCAAGGUAUAUGAGUAUAGUCUCCUCUCAGUUUUUGAUAAACUAGCCCAGUAGUGUAUUUUGCGCUAACUAUUCUAUCAAUUUCCCAAACGUAGAAGUCAUCAGCAGUAGAUAUUGUCAGGCCAGAGAGGAAAGCAAGAAUGCUUACUUGAUUUUCAGACCUUGCCGGUGGCAGAAGCCAGUGACCAUUGUCAUACAAGCUUGCGAUGGUUGCAUCUUGUCUUAUACCAAGCCUAGUUCUUCUACCUCCUGUCAUGAGUUCACAAAUCUUUCCUUCCGGGUACCAGUUAUCUGUCCAGAAUCUGCAGUCUCUGCCACUCUCAAUCUUAAGUUUAAUCCAGGUAAACAUUACAUCUCUCAUUUUGAUUAACUUAUUAGUUAGCCAAGAGUACUUUCUAUUAGGCUUAACUGUCCAGAAGUUGCUCAGAUUCCCUGACAGGAUUUCCGUCUUGAACCACGCCACCCAAACUGAACCCGAUUGAAAGAACAACAGCCAAAUAAGCUUCAACGUGCAAGCUCUGUUCCAGGUAUACAAAUCCUUGACUCCUAGUCCUCCUUGACUCUUUUCUUUAGUUACUGUUUCCCAUGAAACUCGCGCAGUAUGAUGACCCUCCACAUCUCCUUUCCAUAGGAAAAUACCACAAAGAGAGUUGAUUCUCUUGAUCACCGACUUUGGCAAUAUAAACGAGGAACACCAGAAGGUGUUGAUUCCUGAUAUCACGGUCUUGAUAAGGAGUAGACGUCCAGCAAAAGAGAGGGAUUUAGCGCUCCAGGAGGAAAGACGUCUUUUAAUCUGCUGAAUGAGUACUUCACAGUGAGAGAGAGUAGGCUUUGAAGAGGAUAGAGGUACACCAAGAUAUCUCACUGGGAGAGAGGCAAUUGGCAUUCCAGUAGAAACCUGAAUAGCAUCUAUUUCCGCUUGGGAUAAACCUGAUGCAAAGAAACUUGACUUUUGAACACUAACAGCCAGUCCGGAGCGCAAUUCAAACUCUUUAAGGAUCUGAAGCACUGCCUGAAGAGAAGAGAUGGACCCGUCAAUGAAGAUGAGAAGGUCAUCUGCAAAACUCAAGUGAGAAGAUGAGUGGUGGGGAGUUGUAAAUAUGCUUAUAAUCUCUGGGGUAGUUUCAAAGUCGAGUUACUUUAGUUUGUAAACUUUUUUGGGUUUUUAAUUUCUACUAUUCAGUUCUCAAAACUUCCUUUUCUAUAUGAGCAUUUUUAGUUUUUAGAGACAAUUGACUGAAUAUACCCAGUUCACCAAGAAAUUAAGAAACUAUUCUAAAGCAAGAAAAAUUCAUGUCCACUGUAGAUAUUUUUGUCAUAUUUUUCCGUUUUACCCUUGCCCUAAUUUUUUAUAUAUUUCUCUUUUUUGCCCUAAAUUUUGAUUAUAUAUAUUAUAUUAAUUGUUAACUGCUAGGAUAAUAUUAGUUGAAUAGAUAAUGAUUAAGUUAACAUGUUAACAUAAUUUAUAACUUCUAAUAGAAUAUAUAUAUUAGUUAACGAUUGCUACUUUAACCAUUUUACCAAACAAUGUAAAAAGCGAUAACAUAUUUUGUAACAGUUAACCAAACAUGUUUCAGCUAAUCAUAAUAUAGUAAACUAUUAUGUGACUUGUUUUAACCUACUAACUUAUUUCAUAGCAUCUAACAAACUAUUUAUCAGCCAAAACAAACUAUUUUUUUUUUUAAAUUACAAACUGUUUUAAAAGGCUGUUAACAUGUUUUAUAACACCUAAAUAAACAUUUAUCAGCUAAUGAUAAUAUAUUUUGUGAAAAAAUCGGCAUCCACCGGUUUAGUAACAACUAACCAAACAUGCAUAUACUCACAAUAUUUGAUUUGUAGCAUGUAAUCAAACAAUUAUCCGUUAACUUAAUAAAUAUCGACUACAAGCACAAUAACUUAAAUGUUAGAUUCAGGUUUCAUCAAUGUUGGAAAAUUUCUAUAUUUCUUGAUUAUACAAACCAUCAAUACAACCAUGAGCUCUUACCAGCGAAUGAAUCGAAGAGAUCUCACAUGUAUAUUAAACAAAAUUUCUUAGACAUUCAUAUCACGGACAGAUUGAGUAAAAGAAUAGAGAUGACAUAUACAAAACUCAUGUGAGGAUAGUACUCAUUAGAUUCAUACUCUGUAUUAAUUGAAAUAUACGUACCCGUUGCUGAUUCACAUCAUUGGAAACAGAAAAGAUAAGGAAAAAAACAUUUGUAGAUUAAUAGGAAAAAAAUUGUGUUUGGUGAUUUUAAAAAUAAACAAGAGAGAGAAAAGUAAGAAGAUUGUUCUAGGCAUAAGAUAGUAAGAAGACACAAGAGAGAGAAUGGUUCAGAUAGUUGGAGCAGGGGUAAUUUUGUAUUAUAAAGAUAUCAACAGUGUCAAAAUUAGUCCUAGGGUAUUUUGCAAAUAUUGUUUUUUUUUGUGUAUAUGGAUCUAGUUUUUAAGUUUAAAAAAAUUUCGUUGACAAAAAAAAGUUAAAAAAAUUCUCCCGGUUAAUUUUUUUUGUUACUUCGUUAGUCUUGUUUAAAUUAAGCAGUAAUAUAAUAAUUGAAAAAUUGCCGAAACGGAACAAAAAUUUAGCAUGGUUGUCUCUUUUAGUAUAAAACCAAUUUUGUCUUUCUUUUACCUUAUUUCUUUCUAAAAUUUAAUGAAAUAAAUAGUUUUAUGAAUCAAAAAAUUUAUUAAAAAUAUAAACAAUUAAUAAAACACGGAUAUACACAACACAUAUAUUUUUUUGGUUGAAAAACUUGAUAAAUAAAAUUUUUAAAUUUUGUUCUACUAAAAAUAUAAUUCUUCUUCUACGGAAAAUGAGUUAGUAGAAAACGAAUUUCAGAAUAAACAAGUCCAUCUACUUUUUUUAGAAAGAAAAAUCUACUUUUAAUUAAAGUUCUAAAUAUGGGGAAUGCGAAUUAUACUAAUUGUAAAAAUAUCUUAUUUUCUCUCAAAUGCAGUUUCUAGUUUUAUGAAGUAUUCUAAAAUUUCGGGAAUGUGAAAUCUAAAUACAACACGUACGUCUACAUGAGGUAGAAAUUGCAUUCAAGAUCUUUGUCAUGGUUCUACUCAUUGUAGAAUGUGCCUUCUACGAAUAAGAAAAUCUGUUUUUCGAAAAUUAAGGAAUUUCUGUUAAGAAAAUAUUUUAAAAAUAUUCCAACUUCCUAAAACGUGUUUUGAUCGAUUUGUUUUGCCAAUAUAAAAAAAAAUGAUUUUUCCUUUUAUUCUUCAUCAAUCUAUGAUUUUCUCGUAGUUUGUCUUGUUAUUUUCAUACUCUUGUUCUAUGAUGCAUAUUUAUACAACGUGUGGUGUUUGAGAAUUUGGUGCAACCGCGAGAUAAGUUUUUUUGGCUGAUAAUAAAGAGGUAUGCUAAUGUUAUUGGAAUCGAGUGCUACGUUAGAACGAAUUACUACAUAUUAUCCAAAAUGCAGAAUGUGGAUUAUUUGAUUGUCUUUGAUAUAUGUAAAAGCUAAAACCAAUGUAAAAGUUAAACAGUUGAAUGGUGGAAAUACAUGAAUGAUGACAAAAGAAAACAUGUUGCUUCAAGUUACAAAAAAAAAACAUGUUGCAAAAAAAAAAGUUAAUUCAGCUUCUUCUUUUUUUUUUGUAAAAUAAGUUAAUUCAACUUUGUCUUCGUAAAACACUAAAAUCGGAAACGAUAAUUUGUUGGAGCUUUUUAACUCGAUAAUGAAAGGUGAGAUGCUGACAAUGCGAAUGAGAACUAGUCAUAUUAUAUAUUAAAAAUCGAUUAACAUAUUACUAUUUGGGUCUUGUAUUUUAUUAUUUUGCGAUCCUAAAAACAUUGCGGGAAUAUUUCUCAAACUAACCAACGGUUGUGUUACAUUGUAUGUUUUAGACCUCUACUACAUGAUAUAACAAUAACUAUUUAGCAAUUAGAAGAAAAGUUAUAAACAGCGUCCAGGGCCGGCCCUGGGCCAAGCCCAAUGAAACAUUCGCCUUGAGCCCCCAAAAAUUUUGAAUUUUUUUAUAUGUAAAUAGACCCCCAAUUUGUAAAAAAAAAAUUUUUAGGCCCCCAAAUUUUUGAAACCUUUACUAAAUGGUCUUGGACCUCCAAACUCUCGGGGCCGGCCCUGACAGCGUCACAAUUAGUCAUCAAUUCAUUUGGUUCCCCUGCAUCGAUCACCAAUUCAAUUUAAUUAGACAAAUGGUUAGAGAAUCUCCAAAAGACACUUUAUAAUUCAAAUCUGAAGUUUUUUUCUCUAAAAAAAAUCAAAACUUCAAAUUUGAAAUUUUAAAAAAUAAAACUGUAUAUUGAAGUUUCACUGUUCAAAAUUUCAAAUUUGAAGUUCCAUAUUUUUGUUUGCAUUUUGGUCCUUACAAUCACAUAUCACAUUUAUGAUUUUUAAAUAUUUUAUCAUUUAUCGUUUUAAUUCCUAAUUUUUUUAUAUAAAUUUAAGUUUUACCCAUAAAAUUAAAAAAAAAUUAAAGUAAAAUUUAAAAUAUUUUAGAACUAGAUUUAGACAACAACAAUAUACAAAGAAACUUAACAAAAAAAAUCUUUUAAAAAAUUUACAUUAAGACAUAACUAUUACACGAAAUUAAAUAUUACAACAACACUAAUAAUUAGGUAAAUAUGAUCUGGAACCUCCAAAAUAUUGUCCAAACAAAUUUUGUGUAACUGAAGAUGGUUGUUGUUGUUGUUUUUGAUGUCUUUUUUCGUACGAUUCUUUCUUGUUCAGAUCUAAUGUGUUCACAAAUAUUAAUAUCAUCAAUAAAAUUUAAGUCUUUUAGAAAUAUUUUAUUUUUCUCUUUUACUCUUUUGUUGAAAUCUAAUGUAUUUACAAGUAUUAAUAUUACCCGAUUUCAACAAUUUUUAGCUCGUAAUCUACAUAUUUAAUUUUAUAUUUUAAUAUAGCACUACAUUAAUUAAUUUUUUGUGAUAUUUUUAUAUAUAGAUUAGUUAUUUACAAUUUUUUAUGAAUUGAAAUUAAUUAUGACAAAAAUAAAGACCAUAAUAUAAAAUAUAAAUAAUUUUGAAACUAAGUUUGAAAUUUUUCUUUUGAAAAGGAAUAUUUGAAAACUUCAAAUACAUAAUUUUGAAAACUUCAGAAUUGAAUGUAAUUUUGGAGAUGUUCUUAAUAAAAGAAAACUUAAUUAGACAAUUGCAUGUAUUUUAGUAUAAAAAACCAAGCUUUUUUUUUUACAACUUGUUAAGUUUAAUUUUCGCCGAUAAGACUAGUUAUCGAGGUUUUUAUUUUGGGAAACUGCCACAAAUACCACAUUCAUAUUACAACUUUUCAUUUGUACACUAAUCACUUUUACAAUCACUUUUAAUGAAGAGUAAAAAACACUUAUAUCCUAGGGUUAACUAAUCUAGACUUACGGUUUAAAAUUGAGGGGUAUGGUUUUUGGAAUGUGAAAUUUAGGAUUAUAAUAAAUAUAUAAAUAAAUACUUAAAAAUACAAAAUAAAUUUCAAAAAAAAAGUGAAUUUUUUUUAUAAAAAAAUCGAAUUUGAAAAUGUAUAAUUCGAAAACAUACAAUUUUUUUUAUUUAAAUAAUAAUUUAUUAUAUAUAUAGAGAAUAAUGAUAUAAGAAUCUUUUGCCACUUAAUGAAGAAUGCAUUUUUGAAAAUAUCUCUUUAGUGGUGGUAAAGAUGAAAAGUGGUACCAUGAAAGUGGUAAACAAGAAAUUUUUCUUUUUAUUUUAUCAAAAAAAUAAAAGUAAUGACGACAACAAAUUAUUAAAAUUUAAUGAACAGUGGUAAAUACUGAGUCAAAAGUACAUAAUAAAUGCAUAAUUUAACAACCAUUAUACUGAGUAAUAAAUUAGCUAACGUAGUUCCUUCAAUUUCAAAUUUUAUAUUAUGGUUUUGAAAGCCCCACCCCCACACCCUCUAUUUUUCGUCUACUGGUUCCUGAUUACAUAUGUUUUGUUGAUAUAAAGAUCAUUACAUAAAAACUUAUAAAUCAAGUAAUACUUUUUUUUUUGUUAAAAUAAUAUAGUUUUAAUGGUGUUGGUAUAAAUUUAUAUCUCAAACUGAACUAGUACAGCAGGUCCUUUAUAUUAUAUUAUAAUUUUCAAUAUUUAUAUUUAGACUGCUAUUUUUAUAUAUGAAACCACGGGGAGAUAAUGUAUGAAUCGAACCAUUGUCUACUUGAAAACAAAAAGGCAAAAACAAACACAACCUAAUAUUGGAUCUAAGACUGUUUUAUAACUUCAAGAUUUCCAAGAGAAACAAAAUAUAUUUCCGUUCAGUUCCUAUUAAUAUCGAAAUUAUACUAAACCAAUUAUCAGGAACUGAAACCCUAUUUGUUUAUUAGUAGAUUUAGCUAAGGCAUGCACGUACAUGGUAGUUACGUACUUUGGGUACAGAUUCAUGCUAGUCUUUGUAAAGUUACAGUUUGGUUUUGUUUGGUAAUUACUUAAUGACAAAUGAAAAGCAAAAUGAAUUAGUAUUGAUUUGGUCAAAAGCUAAUUAAUCUACAUGCUAGCGAAUCUAAUAGGUAAGUUAACAUGUAGUGAAUGCCAACCCAUGACAUCAAUGCUCGCAUUACUACUUACUUCCUUUCACUUCUGGGUGGGCAAAAAAACCGAACCGAACCGAUCGAACCGAACCGACCGAACCGAAACCGAUUCGAACCAAACCAAAGUCCAUUUCAAAUCAUUCGGUUGAAGAUUUUCCCAACUCGAACGGUUCAGUUCAGUUCGGUUUAAACCGAACCGAACCGAUAAACCGAAGUGUUUUUAUAGUUAUUUAAAUUAAAAAUAUUAGUAAUAUCAAGAUAUUAAAAUCCUAAGAUUAAGCCCACGUAAUUUUCUUUUGCACGAAAGAAAUCCUAAUAUAAUUUGAUUUCCAUGACACUUCGUCUAACUUUUGUAAUAUUCGUCAUUAAGCCCACAUAAUUUCCAUGUUAAUUUUUUUUCAAUAGCGUAUACUUUUAAACCCUAAAAUUAAAAGCUAAACCAAGUCUAAUUAAAAACAAAAGUUCUCCGCAACGUCUCUUUUCUGCGUCUCCUACUCUCCUUCCUGCCUAUUUUUCUUUUUGGUGGUGUCAAUUCUAAUAACUUCAGGUGAGAUUUUUAAUAUCAAAUUCUAAGAAUUUGUUACAUAUACUUAUACAACUGAAAAGUGAAAACAUCAAACUAUUCUUUUAGCUUAUGUAUUACAUAUAUUUAUUAUGACCAACGCGAUUAUUUCAUGACAACCAUACAUUUAUGUAUUAAAACAUGAUUUCUUGUACAAUAAAUAAACUAAAAGAAAUUUGAUUAAACCGAACCGAACCGAAAUACAAACCGAAUCGAAUACAAACCAAACCGAAUAUAAACCGAACCGAACAUAACCGAACCAUAAUCGAUCCAAACCAAACUAACUAUGGUUUACUUCAGCUGGAAAAAUUCUAGAACCGAACUAACCAAACCGAACCGAACUCGAACUGAACCAAUAAAAUAACCGAAGUGCCCACCCCUACUUUCACUCUUUAUGGUAACGUAAAAAGCAAAAUUUAUUUAUUUAUUUCUGUAGAAAACAGUCACUAAUAAGAAAUUAAAAUUAACAUCAACUAGGUGGUUGUCCCAGAUUUUGCGAAUAUAAAUAUUUUAUGAAAACUAUAUAUUAUGUUUAUAAUUUUAUAAUUUUGAAUAAUAAUCAUAACUAUUAAAAAUAACCUUUUUAUUUUAAGUAGUUUGAAAAUCAAAAGUCUUGGUAUUGUAUAAUCUUAGAAGAUUAUUGAGAUAUAUUGUUAAUUCUAUAAAUUUUAUUAUAAGUUUUCAAAAAGUGUUCUUAUGACAUAAUUUUUGAUUAAUAAAAAAAUCCAAAGAUUAAUGAACAAAAAGUUAUUUUAUAACACUUUCUAUUUUUUCAUUAUUUUGUCUACCGAUUUAUUUUAUUUAGAAGUAAAAUAGUUACAAAUAAUUAAUUAACAGUUAUAUUAAUACGUAAAACACAAGUAUUUCGGCAAACAUAUAAAAAACUAAGUACAUAAAAGUAUAAAAUAACAACGAAUACAACUAAGAAUACAACAAACAAGUUUUAUUAUUCUUCACUGAUGUUUUAUAUAUGUAUCUUCUUUUUUUUUGCCUAUUGCAAAAUAAGCAUGUUAAUUUUAUCAAUAGAGUCUUAACUCUAGUCUUGUAUUAAUAUAUUGUUCUCGUUUUUUAAUUUAUAUUAUAAUAAACUUUUUCAUUGACUAAUAUUAUUUUAAAGAAUUUACCAUAUAGUUUUAUUAUAAUCAAGACUAUAAGAAUUAUAUUAAUAGAGUAUAUUAACUUUAGUCUCGUGUUAGUAUAAUGUUCAAAAAUUUCAAUUUUAUAUUAUAAUCAAUAUUUUCAUUUAUUAAUAUUAUUUUAAAAGACUUACUAUAUAUUUUUAUGUUUUUAAAUAUACAAAUAUUUAAUCAUUUCUGAAAGUAAUAACUCAACUAUACAAUCAACAUUUGUCAAUGAAAAAUGACUGAAUAAUUUUAAAAUUGUAUAUUUGAUUGUUUUACAUUCAUUGGACAUAUUUUAGAAAAUAUAUAUUGAGUAUAACAAAAUAUUAUUAGGUUUAGGUUAAUUAGUAUAACACAUUGUAGAAAAAAUGUAUAUAGUGAGUAUAUAAUUUAUUGUAUCCACUAUUAAUAUAAAUAUGUUAAAAUCGUUUAUAUAAUUGUUUCUAUCAUACCAUAUGUAUUUAUAUAUGUAUAUUUUAAAUUUCUAUAACGUAAUCUAUGAUAUUUAAUUGUUUCUAUAAAAAAAUUAUGUUAAUUCUUCUAUAUUUAAAAUGUUUAAAUAUUUGUACGGUAAUAUAGAUUAGAUUAGGUAGUUCUAGAAUUAGUUUCCUUUUAAAAACUUUAAUUAAAUAAAUGAAAAUUCAAAUACCAACAACAAAUCAAAUUAAAAGAAUUAAUUCUAAAUUUCACCUAUGAAUGACACCUAAGCAAAAAUCAAUUAAAUGACUUCUCAAUUAAAAAAUAGUAUUAGGUUUAAGUUAAUUAGUUUUCUGUAAUCUAUAAUUUAUUGUAUCCACUAUUAAUAUAAUAUGUUAAAAUCGUUUAUAUAAUUAUUUAUAUCAUACAAUAUGUAUUUAUAUAUAUUUUUUAAAUUUAUAUAAUGUAAUCUAUGAUAUUUAAUUAUUUUUAUAAAUAUAUUAUGUUAAUUCUUACAUCCUUAAAAUGUUUAAUUGGUUGUAUGGUAAUAUAUAUUAGAUUAGGUAGUUCUAGGAUUAGUUUCAUUUUUAAAACUUUAACUAAAUAAAUGAAAAUUCUAAUACCAACAGCCAAUCAAAUUAAGAGAACUAAUUCUAAACUUCACAUAUGAAUGACACCUAAGCAAAAGUCAUUUUUUUUUAACGCUGAUUUAUUAUGAUCUUACAAUUAUGAUAUGAGAAAGAUUACAUAGACGAUUCGACAACCGACAAUACUACAUGCCUUAUGAAGAUCUACGCCUAACUGCAUCACCUGAGCUAUGAAGAUCUACACCAGACCAGAAUUAUUUGCACCAUGUUGAAGAUUCCUUGUAAGCUUUUCUUUCGUAGUCUGCAUAAUUAUUUAAUAAAUCGUUCUCUCCGGGACUUGAAACCUGAAUUUCCUGUAAUCUGUAAUAAAUUGCAUAGUCUGGGAUUCGAACCACAGACUUAGGUGUAGAAGCCUUUAAAUUUUAACCAUUAGGCUACAGUGUUUCCACGGCAAAAGUCAAUUAAGUGAUUUCUCAAUUAAUAUACCGUAGAAUAUAGUCGUCGUAUUCAUGUUUUAAUUGUGCAUGUGCGUGCGUUUGACACGACAUAUCAUUCAAUAUUAAUCCACAUCGUUGUACAUGCAUGAACAUGUGUUGAGAAUUUGGGAUCAUCAUGAUUAUCAUCAUCAUGCAUGUCGUUCAUGGUGAUCAUCAUCAUUAUACAUGAUAGUUUUGGAGUUUCCAUCUUUCUUCUACGAAAGUUCCAUUCGAGCUCGAGGAAACUAAAGGAUUUAAAAAUAAAUAACAUAAAAGUAACUACAAACUUCUCAACACGCUUAUAAAUUUCAGCCUUUUAUAUAUCCAUUUUCUUAUCAGAAAAUAUAAUUGAAAUUAUUUUGUAAAACCUUUUUCUCUUUAUAAAAAGUUUUAUCAUAUUUUACCAUAGUGUUCCAAAUGAUUGUCGAAAAGCUCAAUUUGUAGUCCAAAGUACCUUUCAACUUUUUUUUUCAUCAUACUCUAAACUAACAAUUGAAGGGGAGACUUAAUUUAAUCAACUGCUGGUUGACAAUAAAUCAGUAGUGGUUCAAUGCUAUACUUCGGGUGGUGAAUAAUAUAUUUGCAAAUCUAAGCCAGAAAACGAGUCAUACGAUCUUGAAAUUUCCCUUUCAAGUGAUUUAUCUACUCUACUAGACAUUUAAAUGUCAUGUAUGUGUUUCAUUUAACCCAAAACAAUCCAAGAAAUAAAGACACCACAUUGUAAUUCUUUUUAUAAAGAAGCAACAUGUAAAGAUUCGUUCUAAAUCUUUUCUAUCCUGGUCCAUUUACAUAUUGUACAUGGUUAGGAACGAUAUACAGUUUAUAGAUUUAACGAAAAUGGUAAAACAAGAAAGAAAGUUAUAUAAUAUAACCGAACUCGUUAAAUCAAUUGUUGCAUGCUGCUAUAAGAAGGGUGUUUGGUCGAGUCUUCGAGAAUAACAUGAAGGCACAUGAUUUUCCUCAUUUACAACUUUUUUUAUUAAUAAUUGAAGUUGGUUGCAAUGCAAGAUGUCUUUCAUUAUACAUUUCGGUUAAGAGAAAAUGACUAAAAUAGUAAAAUGUUAAAUAUUUUCAUAUAGUUUUGUGCCAGAUAAUCUUAAACCAAAGAAGGGAUCAAAAACUAUUUCCUGUUAUUUUUAUCAGUUUCAUAGCAUUGAUGAUUGUCUUUCGUUCUUCCACGUGGGGGCAUGCCAAGAAAAGUGGACCAAAGACCAUAAAAAGGAAGAUAAAGAAAAAGGCAAAUAAAAAUGAGAAAAGAAUACAUUGGGAGAUGUUAUUAUAGAAUUAUAAUGCACAUCAUCCUGAUAAAAAAAAUGAAAUUGUAGAUUACCAAAAAAAAAGAAUGAAAUUGUAACCAGAAUAUUCGUGGAUUCUUUCAUGCAUGCAUAUAUAAUUUGUUGUUUCGUGAUCCACUUUCUUCGUGUAGAUUAUCAUUACAUAUACCAUUUAGAUGUACGAUUGUUUUUUCAAGAUAAUAGAAAACGAAACUAAUUAUAAAAAUAUUCGCACAAGUCAUUUGAUUUUAAAUGUGCCUAUUGUCGGAGGUACCAAGACAUCAAGCUACAAAGUUUAAACAGCUAACAACGAUAAAAUGGUAGCUUAUGUACAAUGAGUAUGACUAUGAUACUAUAUGUUUAAAUCAAAUCUCAUAGAGCAUAAGACUUUUCUCCAUAUGCGUUUUGAAUAUGACGGCAAAGUCCAUCCAUCAACGUUAAGAGUUAAAUGCAACUUCUUAUAAUGAAUAUCCAUUCGAUUGUUGCUGUCCUUUGAUACGAAUACAAUAGGAAUACCAUCCAACAUUUCAAUGAAGUGAUCACUACAAAAAAAAAAAAUCACUUUGAAUCUAUUUGAUUCAUUUGAAUUCUCGCUUUAACUACUAUCACUGCUCCACAAAAAAUUGGCCGACGUGUAUAGUAGACACAUAUAAGUAAACAGAAUAUAGACUCUAUUCACAACACCUUCUUGCACAAGUAGGACAUGAUGAGACCCACAACGAGAGAAAACAAUAAUCAUAUCAAAUUAAAAGAAAGAAAAGAGAAAGGCAUGUGGCCUUUAUAGGAGUCAAUGGUUUGCCUUUUGCCCUUUUUUCUUUCUUCAUGUUCACAUUUUCCUCUACUUUGGUACUUUGUAAAAAAAUUAUAUGAUUUGUUUUAUUUCUCCACACUAAUUUCCAAAGUUCUGAUACAAUGAGUGACUGAUGAUGGUAAGGACGACGAACUUUCUUCUUCGAUGAACAAAACAUUUUAUAUCCAAUAUGAAGACAUUAAUUUUUAUACGGAGACGUAACCCAAUUGACGGUUUGGUUGAAUCUUCCUCCCAGACCAGACGAUUUCAUUGACUUGGCAUAUAUGAGUCAAUGAUUCAGUUUUUUUUGUUUUGUUCCAUCUGAGUUUCAGUCUAGGUUGCAUAGAAUUACAGUGAAAACAUGAAUGUGUGUAUAUAUGUGGUGUCAUCAAAUACAUAAUUUACAUUAACAAAACAUCAUAAACGAUGCGAAUAUAACAUUGAGAAAUAUGUUGCUCCAUCUAAUUAUAUAAUAAGAUUUUUACUAAACUAACCAUAGAUUCAUUAUUAAUAUUCUUUAUUAUUUCCUUAAAUAAAAUAAAAAUUACGGAAUUGUCUAAUGUUGCUAAAAAAAUAUAUAUAUAUAUAUACACGAUAAUUAAUGAUUUUGAAUAAUAAAGAUUUGAUAAAAAUUAGUGUAUCUUCUAUCAUAUUUGUUUAAUUUUAAACUGUUAAAAUAAAUUAAACAACCACAUUAACCAUAUAAUAAACAAUUAGAUUUUUCUGUAUAUGUUGUAUUUUGAAUUUUAAAAAAUAACUAUAAAUUACUAAAAUUGUUAAAAGUCUCACAUUCAAAUUUUGUGAUCCAUUGGUUUAAAUUUUUUGUUAUCACAAAAUACAAAUGAUUACAAAAUCAUAUAAGUAAAAGGUAUAAUUUAUUAAUUAUUAAGAUUAAAAAAAAAUAUAUAUAUAUAUCAUUUUAAAUUGAACUAUAUACCAUAUAAAAUACAUAAAUAUUUUAAUUUCAAAAUUUACUUGAACAACUUUUUUUUAUAAAAGCUUUGAACAAACGUUAACAACUAAAUUUUUAAAAAAUUACUAAAACUGUUAAUCCCAUAUGAGUAGAAUGCAUCAUUUAAUAGACAUUAAUAUUAAAAAUAUAUACUAUGUAUGUUAAUAUCAUUUAAAUUUAAUUAUAUAUCCUAUCAAAUAAAAAAAAAUUAUUUGGAUUAAUAAAAUUGAUUUAUAUGUUUGCACCAAUUUAAUUAUAUAUGUAAUAGUUACUGAAUUUUAAUUAUUUAAUAUAUAUUUAUUAUUUCAUAAUAUGUAAAACCAUAUAAUACAUAAAAUAGUUUAUAUAUAUAAUAUUCAUUCCGCGCAUUGCGCGGAUCUUAAUCUAGUAUACAAUUAAAAUUUAAACUUUUUUAUGCUUAAAAGUCCUAAAAUAACAAGUAAGAUAACACUAGAUUGUGAUAAAAGAUAAUCUAUUAAUUUUAAAACUUUGUAUAACAAUAACUUCUAUAUUAAACAUGCAUGAUACUUCAAACUAGCAAAAAUAUUUUGGAACAAAAAUUAUAAUUAAUUAAGCAAAAAAAUGUUUAUUAAUAUCACAAUUCACAUAUUCGUUAGAAGAAAAGCAAUAAAAGAAAUUAAAAAAACUGAAAUAAAAUUAAACUAUCAACAAUUUUGUACGUUGGAAGAUAUAGAAAGGAAACAAUAAUCCUAUGGUAACUUUUAAACUGGAAUAUGCUUACACUUUACUUUGCCAAUGCUUACAUUUUUCUAGGUUCAACUAUAAUUCACAAAUUCGGUUUGGUUAAUCAUAUGCAUGUCCCUAUUAACCAACGAGGACUUGAAAAUAAGAUCGACACAUAAAAAAAAAACACAGAGUUAGAUUACAACGAAUAUCCGGUCACUAUUCUCAAAAAUAAAGUUUAGGGAGCAAGAGUGACACAUUUGUCAUUUUGAGAAAACAAUUCUUUUUGUUGCACAUACCAAAAAUUUAGAUAAAACAUAUUUGAGUCACAAAUUUGAAAAUGCACAUGCGUUUUAAAUAUACAGAGAAAUAUAUGAUAAAUUACAAGGUGAAAGAAAUGAUGAAGAUCUUGAUGAUACAUCAUAUCAAAUGAACAACAAUGCAUCUACUUGUACAAGAGUCUUCAACUUCCACGUAGAACCAGCUUUUAUCUAUUUACACUUUAUAUACAAGGAAUAACUAUUCCCAACUUGUAUACUCUUGGACCCGACUACAUUCUACAGUCUAUCUACAAGGUGAAAUAGAACACAAAAGCUGACGGAAUUUUUCGAUAAGACCUAUCAUGUUCAUGAUCAAUCAUCAUGAUCAUCUUCGAGGAGGAGUUUCUUAUUUACAUCCGUAUCGUACUCUAAGAUUGUACCUACCAUGUAAACAAAGCACAACUGUUAAAUUUCACUUGAACUAUAAAGAAACCACACUAACACUGCAAAGAUCAAUGGGAUAAGAAAUGAUUAAACUUAACCCCCUAAUCUCUCCUACACAUGUCUACUUAGAACCACUUUUCAUCGAAGCUAGUUGAGCCAUUCUAUAUCACCAGGAAAUUGCGAUAGCUAAGAGUUCAUAUUAAGCAGAAGAUCAAGAUACAACAUUGGUAGACAAUGAUUUCUUAUAUAAAGAAGACAUAUACAUUAACGCAAUAUCCUCAGGAAACAUGGCUGGAAAAUUCACAACUUCAAAAUGUCAGCAUAUCAAUAAAUACAUAAUGGGCCUCUCAGAAAACAUGGCUGAAAAAUUCACAACUUCAAAAUGUCACCAUAUCAACUAGAGAUGGCAAUUGGGUCUUCCCGUCCCGUCCCGUCCCGCCGUGGUCUCCAGUUCAAACGGGUCUCAGUGGGACAGGCCCGCACAAGAUGCGGUCUUGUCGGGUUCAUCAUACCUGCAUAAACCAAACAAUAUGAUCAGACAUAACUCACUUAAGUUUGGACACAGAAACAAACAUCAAAAUAUACAUCUAAACUCUUUUUCGGUUACCAAAACUAGUUUUGUCAUUAGCUCUAAACAAAUUCCCUUUCUUCAAAAAAAAACCCAUAAAGAUAAACUUGAGAUAAGUUUGGAAUCUGCAGACAAUAAAAGAUUGAUACCAUUAUCAUCAUGAUGCAUUGAUCUGAAGUUUGAGAUCAGGGUUAGAGUCAAACACUACAAGAAAACGUAGCAGUAACAACGGCGGUUUACGACGAAAUUAUUUCCUCGUAACUUUACAUGGGCUUUACAACGCAAUUACGACGAGACAUUAUUUCGUCGUAAACUCCAUGGUAAUUUACGACGAAAGGAUUUCGUCGUAAAGUCAAUGUAAGUUUACGACGAAAGUACGUGGAAUGCGAAAUAGUUGUAAACGUUACAUCGACAUUACAACGAAUCAUGUUACCGUUAUAUAAAGGUGAAAACGUGCAUUCAAUGUGCUUUAACUUACCUAAAUUCGUUGUAAAGUCGUUGUAAAUGUUCCAUGUAAAAUCCAUGUAAAACUUUUCUUGUAAAAUCAUUGUUAUAUUUCUCUAUAUAUAUAUGUCAUUUCCCACAACUCUCUUCUUCACAACACACAACUCUCUUCCUCUCGAACCUGAUGGCGUUUAGACUAUGUUCCUCAUUCAGCCACCAAUUACUAUUUCGAAGAUGACGAUAAGGAACAUGAGUCAUUCGUCUGUCUGCCAAUUCAGUGGAGCGACAAGGAGAAGUGGACGGAAGUGCAGUUGGUUUAUACUUGAAAGGAACCUCCAACCAUCGUCAAAGGUUCCUCUCAAGUACAAACCAGCUGCACUUCCGUCCACUUUCUCCUUGUCAUUCCACUGAAUUGGCAGACAGACGAACGACACAGGUUCCUUAUCGUCGUCUUAGAAAUAGUAACUGGUGGCUUAACAACGCAAUUACGACGAAACCAACGAAACCAAAUUUCGUCGUAAACGCCAUGUAAUAUUACGACGCAAGUACGUCGAAAAGUAAACUUUACAUCGACAUUACAACGAAUCAUGUUACCGUUAUAUUUAGGUGAAAACGUGUAUUCAAUGUGCUUUAACUUACCUAAUUUCGUCGUAAAUUCGUUGUAAAUAAUAUGUUAAAACCAUGUAAAAUCCAUGUAAAAUAUUCCUUGUAAAAUCGUUGUUAUUUUUCAACUACCCAACUCGAAAAUUUCUCUAUAUAUAUGUCAUUUCCCACAACUCUCUUCCUCACAACACACAAACGGGAGAAAAAAAAUCCGAAAAAAAAUCAGAAAAAAAAAAGAUUUGAAAAAAAAAUCUAAGAAAAAAUGGCCGGUGGCGGUAGUAUUUACGAGUUACGGAGUUGGAUGUAUUUGCACAAAGAUUCCGACGGGAGGGUGACAAACGCAUUUCUGAGCGGGCUAGAGACAUUCAUGCACCAGGCGGGCUGUACACCGAUCACACAGGAAAGCGGUAAGAUGUUCUGCCCCUGUCGGAAAUGCAAGAAUUCAAAAUUUGCACGUAGUGAAACUGUAUGGAAGCAUUUAGUAAACAGAGGAUUUACACCACAGUACUACAUUUGGUAUCAACAUGGAGAGGGUUAUGGGGGAAAUGAAGCUAGUAGUAGUAAUAAUAAUUUUGAGGAUGGUCAUCAUAGUGAAGAACCGAAUCAUUUGCAUAAUGAAUAUAAUUAUCAUCAAGAUCAUGAGCAGAUGGUAGAUCAUGAUAGGGUUCAAGAUAUGAUUAGUGAUGCAUUUUUAGAAACAACUACAACAAUAGCUGAUGGAACUGGAAAUGUAGAAGAACCUAAUUUGGAUGCAAAAAGGUUUUAUGAAAUGCUAGAUGCUGCAAAUCAACCAAUCUACACUGGUUGUAGAGAAGGUCUCUCUAAAUUGUCUCUAGCAGCUAGGAUGAUGAAUAUUAAAACGGAUCAUAAUUUACCUGAGAAUUGCAUGGAUGCAUGGGCGGAGUUGUUUAAAGAGUAUUUGCCAGAAGACAACGUGUCUGCUGAAUCUUAUUAUGAGAUUCAGAAAUUGGUUUAUAGUCUUGGGUUGCCUUCGGAGAUGAUUGAUGUUUGCAUCGACAACUGCAUGAUCUACUGGAAAGAAGAUGACAAGUUAGAAGAGUGUCGAUUCUGCAAAAAACCACGAUUCAAACCGCAAGGCCGUGGGAGGAAUAGGGUACCGUACCAAAGGAUGUGGUACCUACCAAUUACAGACAGAUUGAAAAGAUUAUAUCAAUCUGAGAGGACUGCUGCGUCGAUGAGGUGGCAUGCGGAACAUGUCCAGAGAGA